UACUAAAUCAUAGAAGGGAAGUCCACUCAAGGUGGAAAACUCUAUAAAAAUGUGCUCUCAGUGAUCCUACUUCAAUAUUCCGUAUGCACUCUUCCAAAGGUCAUAUAGUCUUCACCUUAACAUCAAAAAACAGAUAGGGUUUGUACUUUACAAUGGUACUUCAUUCAGUUACAUGAGUUAAGUAGAAGUGAAGGUAUGAAAGGUUGAAGUGAGGUAUGUUUUUGCCUGAAUAUGGCCGUGUGGGAGGGCAGGCACGGCAUAAUAAGCCCGCACUUUAAGGGUUAAUAAAAUAAUAAAUGGUUGCACAAAUAUCUCAUGUUAACUCAAUUUACUGUGGGAAAAAAUACCAUUACAGCUGUAGUGCAUUUUGGGCCAUUACACAAUUACAUUUUUUUCUUUUUUUUACAGUAAAGGAAGCAGCUGAAGUACAAAAAAAAAAAAAAAAAAAAACGAUAAUAAUGAGAAAAAAAAGUCCACUAAUCACUCUCCCUAUGAAAAAGAGUUGAGAAGAGUGGCCAAAAGAGAGGUCAAAUUUGGGUGGAGUGAUGUCUCGAUAACCCUUCUCAGUUUACUCCACUCUUCCAUCAGGGUGUUAGUGAACCAGUUUUUGCCUGUUUCUUUCCUGAACUUUAAUUUUUUCAUCCUGCAGGGUGAGGCCAACAAGCCCAGCACCAACACCAGCAACGCCACACCCGCCAAGCCCAUCGCCAUCAAGAGGAAGGUGGUGCAGAAUGGCAAGGACGCAAGUGAGUCUCCCUCCAAGCAGUCCGAGUCUUCCUCCAAAACAGAAUCUUCUUCAUCCGCCCCAUCCUUGCCGACUCCUCAGGACGUCAAAUAAUAGUGGUCGUCGCUCCUAGGCCUCACAUUAUAUUUUUUAUAGUUUUGUUGUGAUAGUGGCAAUAUUUUUUUUUUUUUUUUUUUUUUUUCGUGUUUGUGUGUGAGUGUAUGCCUUCAGAGAGAUGGAAAACCAGUGAUUUUUUCCACAAAUCAGACUUUUCAUUUAGUUUUUAAGCAUAAAAUCUCCAGUGUGUGUGUGUGUUCCUGCUUGCAUCUGUGUGUAUGUGUACAUGUAUGUGUGUGUGUGUGUAUAUUUCAGUAGUGUAUGUCUUUGAUACCACUUGAGAAUCCACAGGAAUAAAAAAAAGUAUGUUGUGGAAAAUAUUGCUUCCAGUUAUGAAUGUUUUACGCUAUGUUGGGAGGAAGGAACGGAGGAAGGGUUUUCUGAGCACUGGUGGUGUGGUGGUGGCAGGGGUGAAGCGGCCAGCAGUGUGCAGAAAGGCUAUCUGUGUGUGUGUGUGUUUUGUGCUGUGUUGGGAGGACAGAAAGGAGGAAGGGUUUUUUGAGCAUUGGUGUGGUGAUGGCAGGGGUGAGGCAGCCAGCAGUGUGUGGAAAGGCUACUGUGGGUGGGUGUGUGUGUGUGUGUUUUGUGCUGUGUUGGGAGGACAGAAAGGAGGAAGGAUUUUUUGAGCAUUGGUGUGGUGAUGGCAGGGGUGAGGCAGCCAGCAGUGUGUGGAAAGGCUACUGUGGGUGUGUGGGUGUGUGUGUUUUGUAUCUUCCAUCACCAGCGUUGCCAAGGGCAGCCACCAUUGUCAGUGUUCUCAUGUAUUGCUGCUGCCAAUAUUGUAGUCAUUUGUUACCACCAGUGUUGCAGACAUCAGAGAGUACAAGUGCUCCCAUUAGUGCAAAUAUCAGUGAGCAUAAGUAUUGCCGGCAGCUGCCACCACUAAUUUAUAUGGGGUCUGCCACCGGUAAUGUUCAAGGGGGCUGCCACUACCAAUGUUUAAGGGACUGCCACCACUAAUGUUUAAGGAGGCUACCACCAAUAAUGUUCAAGGGGGCUGCCACCACUAAUAUUUAAGGGGGCUGCCACCACUAAUGUUUAAGGGGAGUGCCACCACUAAUGUUUAAGGGGAGUGCCACCACUAAUGUUUGAGGAGGCUGCCACCAAUAAUGUUUAAGGAGGCUACCACCAAUAAUGUUCAAGGGGGCUGCCACCACCAAUGUUUAAGGGGAGUGCCACCACUAAUGUUUAAGGAGGCUGCUACAAAUAAUGUUCAAGGGGGCUGCCACCACUAAUAUUUAAGGGGGCUGCCACCAACGUUUAAGGGGAGUGCCACCACUAAUGUUUAAGGAGGCUGCCACCAAUAAUGUUCAAGGGGGCUGCCAUCACUAAUAUUUAAGGGGGCUGCCACCACCAAUGUUUAAGGGGAGUGCCACCAGUAAUGUUUAAGGAGGCUGCCACCAAUAAUUUUCAAGGGGGCUGCCACCACUAAUAUUUAAGGGGAGUGCCACCACUAAUAUUUAAGGGGGCUGCCACCAAUAAUGUUCAGGGGGGCUGCCACCACUAAUAUUUAAGGGGGCUGCCACCACUAAUAUUUAAGGGGGCUGCCACCACCAAUGUUUAAGGGGAGUGCCACCAGUAAUGUUGCAGUCAGCCAUCACCAUCACACAUGACACAUCUGCCAGCCGUCGUCACUGUCAUCGUUUUUUGGCACCAACUUUUUACCGUUCGUGUUUUCAAGUUUUUUAAGAAUAAAUGUUCACAGCUC